rnacentral:SRP_RNA from 1 species
GCCGAGCGGGGUGAUGUCGGCUUGUAACCUUAAUGGGGGCAAACAGGUAGUUUGGAUCGUGGGCGUGGUCGCUUUGGUGGUAGUGGUGGUGCCCUAGCCAAUGCGUGCUGGUCGAAGCUAGGAGACAUUGUGGCUUGCCCUCUUGAAAGGAGUGGAGCAGGCCAUGACAUAGAGAGGGGGGGAACCUCAUCAGACUGAGCACCUCCCGCUCUUAACAUGUUGAUGCCCCUUUGUCUCAUCAGUUGCCAUCGAGAUCCACUCUAACAUGGACAAUCCCUUUU